GGCCGGGCCGGGCCGGGCCGGGGGGCCCCGCCGCGGCUGACGCCCCGCCGCUCCCCUCGCUCCCCCUCCAGAUUUCUUCGCCCGGAGGAAGCGGCCGGCGCAGCCCAAGGCGGCCGCCCCGCGCCCCGCCGCCGCCGCCGCGGCGCCCGACACCCCCCGCAAGCGGCUCCGGUGAAGGAGACUUUUGCACUACGGCACCCACGGGAGAAGCGCGGCCCCCGCAGGCGCGGGGGGCCGGGGCGAGCCGGGACUCCCCAGCGCCGCGCCCGCACCCGCCGGCGGCGGCGGCACCGCCGGGAGCGACAGCGGCCCCGGCCCCGGGAGCGGCCCCGGCGGCCGCGCGCGGAGCAGUGUUAGCGUACGACUGUGCAAUGUAUUACGUUUUAUAUAAGAAAUGUAUUGUGCCUAAUGUGAGUACACUGGCCCAGAAGUGUCAAGCUUUAAAAGUCAUUUAUAUGAAAUGUUUAAUCUCUGCUGAUCUCAGUGCAAAAAGAAAAAAAAAACGACAAAAAAGUGUAUAUUUGUACAAAAACUUUUUUAAGAAUUAUACUAACUUAUAUUUUCUAUUUAUGUCAGAAAUGUGGAUAACUUUGGUUGACAUCCAAUAGUCUCUUUUUCUUUUGGUUAAGCCAAAGGGCACUAUAUUUGCUUUUGUUAUUUACAGAAUGUAAAUUUAUUUUUAUAGUGGGAUUUUUUUUCCUUGCCUUCACAAGAUGUAGCUAUGACUCAAAAUAUUUUUUAGACUUUUACUUGAAGACAAAUCUGUUUCAAUGGUUCCUGAGCCGGUCUGUACCACUGCCAUUGCAAAUAAUGCCACAACUUCAAAUAAUAAAAAAAAUCCAGGAAACCGCUGCACCA